rfam:Oryza barthii chromosome 7, whole genome shotgun sequence.
UUUAAGUGCAACCAUAAGUUUAUGUGCCCAACUUUGAUUGUAAGUUUUAUUUGAAUUUUUUUAUAAUUAGUAUUUUUAUUGUUAUGAGAUGAUUAAACUUGAAUAAUACUCUAUACGUGUGGCUUAUGUUUUUAAAUUUUUUUAAAAUUUUUUUAAAUAAGAUGAACGAUUAAAGUUGCGCACGAAAAAUUAUGGCUGCACUUAGA